AGAACAAGCUGCAUCCAUUCUCCUCCAGGUUGGGUGUAUCUCAGCGACAACUGGUUCCACUGCUUUACCUUUUCUGUAGCAGAGAAUUUGGGUCUAAUUUUCUGAUAUUAUUGCCAAAACUGUAUCUGGAAAAAAGAUGUGUGCCAGGAUUGUGAUCCUAUAUUGACAAAAUAGCAUUGGAACUCAUGGAGCAGAUAUGACCCCAGAAGGAUAAACUACCCCCCACCAUGCAGACACACUGAGACUCAGUUAUCUCCUGAUGAGCUAACGUGGCAUUGGCCUAUUGACAGUUAACAUGGCAAAGACAGACUCAUUACAGCUCAGCUUUUAUUUACUGACCCUUUCAAACCUUUUGAAGAAAAAGAUCUGAAAGAUCUGAAAUUUCUCACCCUCAGCGAAGACACUUGCAGAAGAAAAUCACUUGGUCUUUUUUUGACGUGCUCAAAGUAUUUAUUAUCAGAUAGAAAAAUGUUUAGUCAAGUACUUUUUAUAAAAAUUUUCCACUUUUUUUUGCAUUCAGAUCCUGAGCCCACCACCUUUGCUUUAAAAAUCUCUGCACAGUUAAGUCUUUAUUCACCAAACAUUUUAACAAUGACCCAUGUUUUUGUUGAAUUGGCUGGCCAACUGAGUUGCCAGAGCCUCAGUGGCCUCCUUGACUCUGAUUCUAUGCACCUUGCAGUGAAACAAAGAUUAGGGUGCUUGUUUAGUCCUCUGUCAUUAUCAUAUCCAAGCCCAUCAAGGGAUUACCCCUGAUGCUAGGUCAGCCUGUCAUUAACAAAACUGAAUGGCAUGAGCAGUUAGACCUAUGUGGUGGAGCAAAAGUCCAUGUCCAGCACGAAAGGGACACACAAACCUGGGCCAGGACACAGUGCAGUCUUCCUGCAAAGGGGAACGUUGUUUCUGCUCAGACAGGCCUGAUUCUUUCCUUACUUUGAUGCUUCCUUGUUAUUUAUUGAAUUUGAGAGCUCAAUAGAAAAGUCUGGUAAGUAACACAUGAUCAAAAGUGCCUCUAAAUGAUUUUGAAACUUUCCUAGGCAAUCAGUUCUUCUUUCAACACUCUAGUUGCUUAGAAAGAACUACAUUUAUGGGUAUAUGAAGUAGGGAAACCUACAGAUAAAAAAGAGUGUCCAGGUAAUAGACUGGAGAUGCAGCGUUUGGCUUAGACUUGACUGGCUUGGACCGGGUAGUGACACAAGAACAGAUGAAGCAUUUGGAAAGCUUGAAACUGAAAUAAAAAGCUAGUCUUGCCCGUACUAUGACAUCGUCAUUCAUAAUUAUCAUGGAUUCAUAGUAGUAAUGAUGCGAGCUUAGCUUCCAGUGUAAUAGAUCUUGCCCAGCUUGCACUACCACCUGAAAUACCAUAAGCAUUUGAGCCUAGCAAUCCCUCUUCACAAAGCAGGUUGUUUUUGGUGUGCCUUGCUGUUUUAUUUCAGUAAGUUAUUUAAAUAUGCAGUGCGAAGAGGCAAUGUGAGAGAAUGAGUUUAUAUCCUUGUAGUUGGUUUUAUCAGACAGGAUCUGGGCAUUGCUCCAAUUAAUAUUUGAUAUAUUUUCUGCAAAGCAUAAGCUUUUAGUGGAAGAGUGUGAAAGAGACCAUCUCUAUAUAGCCAUUAACUUAAAGGGGUUAAAGGAUCUAACUGUCAAAUGAGAUGCUUAGAUAGAAAACCUAAUUCAGGCAGAGGAAUAGAAAUUUCAACAUGAAUAUCUUUCAUCCUGGAUCUCAUGAUUACAGAAGGACUGGCAGAGUCAGAGGGAUUCCAUCAAUGUUUCCAUUUUUCUUCCACAAAUAAAAGAAGGCCACACUGGAUUAUGCACUGACACAUCUAUGCAUAUAUAAAAUUGCACCCAGCUGUAGGCCAAGUCUUCUGAAUUUCCUACCAGCUACCCUCGAUUGCUUCAUAUUUCACUAUGGAUUUUGUGAUUCAGGUUCUCAGGAGUUUGAUUUGUAACAUCUAAGAAUUAGUCAUUUUAAUAUCAAAAUCCUUUUGUGACUUUAGCCCAAAGGAUUACUCUUAUAUUUAAGAGCUACAGACUCAAGAAAGACAGAUCCAGCUGAAUAUCUUAAAGGAUUUAAAUAACUACUGUUUAUAAAAGUGGGCAAAAUGAAUCUAAAUUUCAUCAAUUUCUGCUAACUUCUCAAUGUGCCAAGGCAGUAUAUUUUUGUGUUAUGCAAAUGUCAAAGCCAAGAUCUUUUUCUGGAAUCUGUGUUUGCUUACAGCUUUAUAUAGCAUACAUAAGAAGCAAUGCUGUGAUGAGGUACUUUAUGGCAGGGAAGAUGUACGGUUUUAGCAGAAUACUUACAGAGAACAUGAUAUUUCUAGUAGAGGAAAGUUCCAUAUGAAAGGAGUUAGAUGUGAUGUAUUUUAAUUACAAUAAAUUAGUAAUCUUUUCUCCAAUAUCUGAUAGCAUUUUACUUACUUGAGACCUACACGUGGCCUAAACUCUUUUUCCCCCCCAACUUUAGUAUAGUAUACUUGUGUAUAUACAUAUAGCUAACUAAUGUUGUCUUUCAUACCUUAUAAGUAUUUUACCAUAUUGGCUUCCUUUCAGAUUGAAAGCUACCAUUUCUCCUUUGUAAAACUAUUUUACUAUGCAUACAGCACGUUUUGCCCAGUAAUACCAAUAAUGACUUUGGAAGGGAACUUUACACAUGGCUACAACUGUAGUUCAACAUUACACUGAGGCAUCUUCUAGACCUAUAGAAAAUUAAUCUCCUCUGUGUUUGCAAUCUUAUAAACUUCAAUCUCAUCAUUGUUCAAGAAAGUAGAACUGUGUAGUCUGGAGCUAGAUCAUAUAAGUAUGCAUAUAUGUGUGUACAUUUAUGAACAAUGUGGUGGAUAGGUAUAUAUAAUACACAUACUACACUUUCCUCAAAUAUUCUGGCUCUUUUCUGAACCCACAGAUAAAAAUUCUAUUAUAGAAACCACAGAAGUUCUAUUUAUUUGACAGUAAUCUGUAGCUUCAAGACUAAGUACAGAAAUAUGUAAAAGAUAAUUUUCUACAAGGUUCAGAACUUUUAUGGUCACUCUGGUAAAAAAACCACAAUGGGGAGAGAAAUGAGGUUGAACACAACCAACAAUUACAUAACUUUCCCAAAAAGCUGGAACAUAUCUUGAACAAUUUAAGUAAUUAAGUUGCACCCCACACACAUAUAAUAUAAAUUCUAGUUAAUGAUAAUGGAAAGAAAAAAGGAAAUGCCAGAUAUUUGAUGAUUGCUUCUCAUUAGCCUUAUUUUUCCCCUUGCAAGUAGCAAAACUGAUCUCUGAGGGUGAAAUAUUAAUGUAAGAUAAAUGUGGCUGACAUUAAAUUAAUACAUAGCUUAAAUUCAGCUUUUAAGAAUGAUUCAUCACAUUUUGACAAUUCCCCACAAAAUUCUCAGUGCUGGCAUCCUAGUACAAAGCGAAGACCAAAACUGUCUCUUUCACAAGAUAUAACUACAAAUGGAAAGACUGAUGUGUAUGUAAAAACUUAUGCUAACCUAACAAAUUUAUGCUAACCUAAAAUGUCCUUUGGGUACAAGGAAGAAGGUCAUAUUUAGGGAAUCAUAAUGUUUCUAUACUUACUGCCAGGCCAGGUCUUGCUCAGUGAUCUUGUAGACUCAUCUUGAUGGCUUUUAAGUCACUGAGGAAAGGCCAUUUAUUUCUACCUUGAGAGUUGUAUCUGACAGUGGUUGCUUGCUUUGUUGUACCUUAAAGUACAACACGAAAUACAGAGACAGGAUUCACUGCAGAGGCAUCAACAGAGAAUUAAUCUGUACUGCUAACUAGUUGCCUAAACAGAGGAUCAGAAUUCACUUCAUUCAAUAAAAAUUUAGUUUCUUUUCCUCAUAUUCUCCUGUCCAAACUUCUUGAUCCUUCCCCUUCCUAUCUUUCUUUCCUCCAAAAAAAAAAAGCAAAUAACAGAAAAACCCCAAAAAACCAAAACGAACCCCACCUAAAAUAAGUGAUCUGUGAAAAGGACUGCCCAUUCCAGAGCUGUAUAUGAACAAAAGUUUUUGCAGAUUUAUUUUCUGACUUCUAGGCCUCACCAUAUAAUAUUCUUUUGUCGCGUGAUCAUGGAAAUCUUGUGAAACAGCAUCUCUGUAAUACAUCAAAAACCCAGAAUAUGUGUGGCCCAUUUCUACCUUUCCUCACAUUACUGACUGUGGAUUUACCAGUAUGUACUACCAGGCAGAAUUUGGCCUCAAAUAUAAAGCACUGCUUUAGUAUGUAACCUGUAUAGUCACAUGGGACUCUGAGUGUUAAUGUGGCAGCCACAGGGGAGAACACUUAAAGAUCCUUAGGAGCAUUUAUUCAGAGACCUCUUACUUCUGUGGAUUUAAGCAUGAAUGAAUAUAUUUUCAAAAUGAAAAUGAAAAAAAAAUAAAAGAGCAGUAAAAAAAUUCCCAAAAUCAUCAUCUCAACAUGGCAGGAAGCAAGAUACGAAGGAGGACUUGAACAGACGUAUUAUCAUAGCAUUGUAUAUUUACACAUUAAAAAAUCAUAGCACUACAAGUCAGAAAUUUUACUUGUUAAUUCAGAUGAAACCUGACAGCUCAGUGAAAACCUGAAGAUGAAUAAAUACUCCAAGAUCAAUACCUAAAUCCAUUACAGAGGGUUCACAAAACUGCAGAUCAGCAAAGAACAUUCUGUGUUCCCUCUCCUGCACAGCUUCUUAUCUCAUGGAUCAUGCCAGCUUCAAGAUUGACUGCCUGUUCCUCUUCAGGAAACUUUUCACUAAAACAUUUCACUAAAAUGCACCACAGGAACACCAUAAAGUCUAGUCUCCAGCUGCUGUUGCAAAAAGGGGUCUGUCCUCUUACUGCAUCUGCUCCCUUCACCAUAAAUCACAGAUGAAACUCUGUGUAGUAUGAAAGACUUUGCUCGUGCACUAGUUAUAGCAGCUUUCUAGAGCAGAGCAAACUUAAUAAAUGGAGUAAGCUCAUACAAGGAAGGCCUUGGCAAAAGAAGGUCCUGAGGAAACGUCUAUGGAAUGACGCAGAGAAAUGCAUCUUCUCUACUCGUACCUAGGGCUAGUCACACCCAGAACUAUGUGGCACUGGAGAAUGCGUUGCUCUGGCUUGUGGUAAUGGAGGGAGAAAAGCCAUGUGAAAGGCCCCAGAGGCUCCCCAGUAAAUCUGUAUCUCUGUGUGGUGCUUGAGGUACUUUGAGUCUCAUAGGCCAUAUCAGCUCAUGCUCAGUGCCACCCUAGUGCUCUUACUAUGACCCAUGUGCAUCAUGGCAGUGGGGGGUGGGCUCCAGGUGUGCAACAAAUUUGUGUCAGUGAAAUUUCCUAUCUGUGGAGGCAUGCCCUGAACUUUUCUCCCAGUUGUUUCAUCUUAACAGCUCUUUGAUUCAGAGGUAACAAUGAAUCUGGCAAAAAAAUAUUCCUGCACUUUGGGAAAGUUUUGAUUUAGAUCCAGAAUAUGUACCCUGAAGCAGAUCAUUUGUACUGUUCUUCAACAGCCUCAGGUGAUCAAAUCACUGUUUCUUCUGAUCUAAAGGUGCAAACAUAUAUGUUUAUGGUCCAAAUUUACUGGGUGUGGAACUUGCAUGCAAACAAAUCCUGUUUACAUAUUGAUUCAUCAAAAAAUGCAAACUUUUUCCUUUGGAAAGAAUCCAGUUUCAUCUAAGGCAUAAUGCAAGGGAAAAACAAAAAACUCCAGACUAUUCUAAUGCUAUCCUAAAAGAAAACAGCCUAGACAUUUUAGAAAAGGGAUAUCAGACCUCCAGCACAACAGUCUAAAUGGGCAAAUGCCAGACCUGCGGUAAGAAAUCCUAAAUUAAUCAAGUCUGUGAGUAACCUGGCAGUCCGUAAUACACUUCUCACAACUGGAAGUCACUUUUUUCCACACCUGGGGAAAACAAAUCCAUAGUUAUGUUCUGAAGACCUAAACACUAAAUUGCUACGAUGCUUCCUUUUUUCCCCUUGUUUUCAUUUCCCCAAUUACAUUCAUAACCACAGGAAAUGAUUAUAUGAUAUAGUAAAGCUGAGAGUUUGAAUCUCAGGAUUCAUAUCCUAAGCUUUGGAAGGAAUUGUGCUUUGCAGAUAGAAACUAGACCCAGUUAUCUGUACCCCACAUUGCAUUCCAAUGACUAGAAGCAAUGUCCUAGAAGUAUAUAAACUCAGUAACCACUGUGGGCUUUGUUCUUAGGGAUGUUUAGUGGAUGCAGAGAUCUUAUGUUCUCUGUAGUGUUGCACUGGGCUUACUGUAGACUUAAAAUAGACCUGGAACAUAUCAGCAGAGGAAAGGGGGAAAAGGGUAACACUGUAUGCCAUGAUAUCUGUGUAUAUACUUCACGGAAUUCUUGACCUCCAAAUAGAUAUUCAAACAAAAAGGGUAAAGAUAAACAUAAGGAUUCAGCUGUGUGGUGAAUGUCUAAACUAAUGGAAGGCAUAGCCCUAAAUCCUAGCAUUUCCCAUUAGGGGUCUCAUCAGCUUGCCAAAAGCACAGAAGCUUCUGAGACUUUUCCCCUUCAGAGACACUAUAUGUCCUAUGGCACCAGUGGAACUAGCCCAUAAACCUUAGCAUAUAUAUAAAUUUUAAGAGGGCUGGGUCCUGGGACCACAGUUCUAAGCCUUACCGUAUUAUGCUGUGGUAGCACUGCCAUCAGGCUAGUUUCCAACUGGACGGGCUGUUUUUGCUACGAAUGUGCCAGUUGGCAAUACAUGGGCGGAAGUUAAUCUAAGUAUGUUCAGCAGCUACAUGUCUUAAGGUGGCUGGUUCUUUUGGACAUCAAAUGUAGUAGUGCUAAUUGGGUUUAGGAAUAAAACAUACAUGAAAGAGUUUGGUAAUAUUCUUUGCACAUUUACAUUUUGUGGGGGAAUUUGCUAACCUCUCAUUACACUCUGAAUUCAGUCUCUGGGAGAAAGGGAAGAAUGUUAAAACCACAUAGGUCUGCCCAACUCACCAGUUGUGCUGGUUUUUGUGCUCUUGAAACACAGAGAUCCAGUCCUGAUCUUUUUUUGCUGACUUCAACAAGAAUAGAAAUAAAGCCUGGGGUCACAGUUUCCUUGUUGACUUUUUCCUCAUUUUUUACAUUUGAACUCAAUUUGAGAUAAACUUUGCCCUCUGGGGAAGCAAUUACAGAUAAUACUAAAAUCAACAUAAAUUAAAACCGAUCAUAUUUACAAUGUCACCGGUUUAUGAAUUAUGCUUCCCAUGUGAAAUGGUUUUUUUCUGCUUAGUUUUGGAAGGGUCGCUGAUAUGUAUACACUUACAUGUAUAAACAGAAAUACCGAUACAUCAAACAGAAUCAUUCUUCUUUGUAGAGUGAUUUUUUAUCUAUACAGUACUGGUAAUGAAUAACCUCAACCAGGAAAUAAGUUUUCUUGGCACCCAAUUUCCCUCAGUCUUUGGAUCCAUUAGUGAAAAGUUAUUAUAUGCAUCCUGGCUUUUAUUUUUUAAGAAAAAGCACAAAAUCAUUUUUAUACCCAUAGUAAUGUUUAUGCUUUGGAAUAAAUCUGCAAAACAAGAGAAAAGGAAAAACCACACAUUUGGAUACUACCUUUUCAAGAUCUGAAGAAAUUCACAUAUGAAGCAAAUAAACAGAUCUUUACAUGGAUGGAAUUACAUUUCCUAAAGUGAAAAAAAUAUAUGAAGAAAAAAAAAGAAGGAAAAAAAAGAAAAAAAAAAAGUAAAAAAUAUAUAUGGCAGAAAUGCUUUGUUUUACUUCACCUUUUAAAGAAAAGCUUGCCUGUGCUUGACAAACUGAGAGAAUGAACAUGGGAAAUGAAACAAUAGUAGAAAGCAGAUAUACAAAAGACCUGGACAUCAUCCUUAGCCAUCCCAAAUGCAAGGUAGUUCCCUACAGUAUGCUCCUGAGAGUUUGAUCCAGUUUGGUUUUAGAUGAAUCAUCUGAUACCAUUUUUACAAUCUCUCUGAGGAGACUAUUCCACUGUCAAAUAAAUAUACUUGUGAGUCUCAGACACAGAAGUUAUUCAGGCAUUAGAACUAAAAUUAGAGUCAAAGUUAAAAUAAACUAAAUAAAAUGUUAUGUAUAGAUUCAGUUUGCUAUCCAGAUCUGGUUCAAGUUAACAAAACAUAGUGAAUGUUCGUGCAAGAUCUCAGCAGGUUGCCUGGCAAGACCUAAUUGAGGAUUUAGGACUGAAGCAAAAAUAGCCUUGUCAAGGAGUGUAGGUUUUGAAAAGAAGUGGAUUUAUAUGUAAAAUUUCUGAAAAGAUUUUCAUAUAUUUAGACAUCUCUUGUCCCAGAAGAGGAAGUAUGACUGUGGUUCAUCUCUCCUACAGAAGUCUAGAGACUUUUUUUCCCCCACAAGAAAAAUAAAGGUGUGUCUAUCCCUUGGGUUAGGUAACAUGUAAUCACUAUUAUAUGAAAUCAAAUCCUAAUUAAGAUUAAUUGGUUGGUAGCUUUAAGAUAAAUUCAUGUGUACAGUAUUCAAGCUUCCAUAUUAGCUCUCAGCCAUACGUUGUUGCCCUAAUGCAUGAAAACCCAGGUCUUCUAUCAUAAAACCCAGUGUUUUAUGCAGGUCCCCCCAAGAGAAUACACCUUUUUUUCCAAAGAAGCAAAUCCAAAAUUUGUGGCCCCAGGGAUAUAAACAGCAAUAGCUGAGUGCCCACUACACCUCUCACACCAGCCUGGGUAGGGACUGUGCCUCAGGGUACUCCCACUUGCUGUGACUGUGCGUUUGUGGAGGCAAAGGAAUAACCUGAUCACAGCAGACAUUGCACUCACCCAGCUGGAGGGGGUGAGGGGAUGAUGUCGUGAGAAAAUCACAGGCAAGUUAAUAGGUAAGCACCCCACACCACACCCCUCACUCCUUAGGGGCAGGGGACUAGGCAGGAGACCAUCGUGGAGUCUGGACUUACUGGGCUGUGUGCCCUGCCUGCUUGUGUAGAGCGCAUGUGGGAAGGGUGAAUCUUUCCAGAAGAUUCAGAUAGGUUGGGCACCCUGAAUACUUGCCAGCUGGCCGUCCCAGACUAACGUGUUGCAAAGCAAAGAUCCAGAGGCAGAGAGGAGACCACAGACAGUUCCACCUGCUGGGGAGCAGCCGGGGUGAUGCUGUCCCAUGGGCCGGGACAAGCGCACACCCCUCAGCUUAGAAGAGCUCCCAAGAGAAGGAGCAGAGAGCCUUUGCUGGGGGUGUCCCAGCUUUUUCUUGAAAAACUUCCAAGCUGUCCAAGGCUUGGCUGACACUGCUUUCCCCUAUCUGGAGCUGGCUGUGAGCAACCAGCUAAAAUCUCACACUGCUGGCUGUGGGUCUCCCAGCAGAACAGCCUCCCCUUACACCCACACCUAAUAAAAAGGCUACAGAGCAAAAUAUGGCACCUUGAAGCUGUUUUCUCCUCUUCUGGAGGAUUCCUCCAUCAGCUGCUUUGGACAAUACAAUAAUUGUCUGCAGCACAGUUGUAAGGCUGAAAAUGUGGCCCAAAAUAUCAGUUUAUUUUGUCUUUAGCACGUUUCUAAUUUGUCAGUGCAGACUGGUCUUACUCACAAGGGGGGAAAGCUAUUUUUGUGCUGUUGCCAAGAUACUACUGGCACUAGCAGACUGAUCAGAUAGCAGCUGUCAGUAGCUGUGACAAACUAACACGAUGAUUCAAAGAAGGGAAUGUAAAUGAUGUAUAACUAACAGUGGUACAGAGCCUGCCUGACAUAUCUCCUAUGUGCAAAUCUUCUGCUUCUGCCUAGAAAGUUGGGUAAGUCAGUCCCAUUCCAUCGCAAAACUCUGUGGCUUGGAACAUCAUGAGAGGAACAACCUAGAGUUAUCAUUCACAAACCCCAUAACAGAACCUGUACUUCAUACCUAGCAUAGAUUCCCUUAGAAGUAUACAAUAUAGCUUGGAAGCUACCAUAAGGAUGGCUUUGAGGAGCACUGUACUACCAGAAAGAAUAAUGGUACAAACAAGCUAGGAUAAGUGAAUGCAGAAAUGCAGAAGGGGUAGUCAUACCUAAUGCAAACUAAAUACUUUUAGGGAAAGCUUAAGAAACACAAGCCAGAAGCAUCUCACAAAAGCAAGAUUCUUUACCUUUAUUGCCAGCUCUUCAACAGUAAAAUCUAAUAAUGCCUUAUGCUUUCUUCAGAAUUUCUUCCAGAAUAGCAAUUUUCGGAAUGAAAUGCCGCACUUAAAAAUAUGACCAAUUUAAAAGAGACAUAGUGGGAAAAGGAGACUGGAUUUGCUUGAUCUUAGCACAAAACCUGAAAAAUAAGUAUUGGUGAAAAUAAUGCAAUUUACAUUCAGUAAUGAAAAUGUUUUUAACAGAAUGUGUACACACUUUGCAUUUAUAUGUCUGUAGCUUGGCAUAUACAGCGUAAAGAAAUAAUUUACCAAUGAUACUAGUUGUUACAUUAGGGAUUCUGUGCCCACAUAAAAAUGUAAAAUGUAUCUCCUGAUUGUGAGCCAUGUGCACUUAAAAUGUAAAAUCUCUGUCCAAUAAAAAAGCUUCAAAGUCACCUUGCAAAAUGGAAUGUUUGGAAUAACACUAAAUGCUACAUGAAUAGAUUUUUUUUUUUAAACAGAAACUUUUUAUCUAGGUAUAAUUAGUGCAAUAUUUCAAAUACAAUAAAAAAUGGAAUUGUGUUUUAUUAUGUGUAUAUAUAUAAGCCGGUGUGUGUAUACAUAUAUAUGGAUGGAUGGAUACAUAUACAGAUGCACAAAUCUAUAGAAUCGUAUAAUAGAAAACAUUAGGAUCAGUAUGAUACUAUUUCUGAAAUUUGUAUCUUUUGCCUUCCUGUAAGGCUAUAGAUAACAGUAAACAAGAUAUGAUUCCUGUAAUUUAUACCUUUUCAAUGUCAAGGGAAAGGUUAAAGUCUAAGCAAAAGAGAAUAUAUAGCAUUUUGCUGACAAAGCACUACUGUAAAAUGCUGUCAAAUGAGAUAAGCAAGGAUCCUGAGUGUCGUUGGGACUGCAGUGAAACUUGGAUUAAGUACUACAGUUGGGAAACUCCUUUCCAGCAAACGGAGAUUCCCUUAGACAAGUCCAUAUUUAAAAGGUUCUGAAGUUGCCAGGGAGUUCAAAACACUUCAGCAGCCCCUUCAAUAUGUGUCUGGGAAAACAUAAUUUUUGCCUCUGUCACUGUCAGCGUCACUGUCAGUUCUAAAGACAGGCCAGAAUUCACAGGCAGAAAUAUUAAAUAUUUGAUUAGUGCAGAACUUUCCUUUAGUACAACUUUUCAGCUAUAUCAUCCCUUUCAGCUAAUAAAACACGGGUAAAGAUAUGUUCUUGUAUUGGGUUUAUGUGGCAAGGUUUUGGAAGUGGUGGGGCUGCAGGGGUGGCUUCUGUGAGAAGAAACCAGAAGCUGCCCCCAUGUUGGACAGAGCCAGUGCCACGCAGCUCCAAGACACAACUGCCGCUGGCCAAACCUGGGCCAACAAGACUCGUUGGUAGUGACUCUGGAAUAACAUAUUUAAGAAAGUGCACAGAAGCUGGGAGAGAGUGAGAAAAUGUGAGAAACAGCCCUGCAGACAGAAAGGUCAUUGAAGAAAGAAGGGGAGGGGGUGCUCCAGAUGCUGGAGCAGAGAUUCCCCUGCAGCCCGUGGUGAACACCAUGGUGAGGCAGGCUGUCCCCCUGAAGCCCAUGGAAGUUAGCGGGGGAGCAGAUAUGCACCCGAGUACCCCACACUGGAGCAGGUGGAUGUGCCCUUCAGAGAAGCUGCAACCCGUGAAUAGCCAUGCAGUAGCAGGCUCCUGGCAGGACCUGUGGCCCCAUGGAGAGAGAAGCCCACGUAGAAGCAGGUUUUCUGGCACCUGUUUAACUUUUCCUGUGACCGUGUGGGGGAUCCAUGCUGGAGCAGUCCAUUCCUGAAGAACUGUAUGCCAUGGAAAGGACCCAUGCUGGAGAAGUUUUGAAGAACUGCCUGUGGGAAGGCCUCACAUUGGAGUAGUUCAUGAAGAGCUGUAUCCCAUGGGGACACCCCAGGCUGGAACAGAGGAAGGUGUUUUUAGUUUUUGUUCUUAUUUCUCACCAUUCUACUCUCUUACUCUUGCCAAUUAUCUGGCAAUAAAUUAAAUUAUUUCCCCCAA